CAGCAGCCACGGUAAUACGUAGGUGGCAAGCGUUGUCCGGAAUUAUUGGGCGUAAAGGGCUCGCAGGCGGUUUCUUAAGUCUGAUGUGAAAGCCCCCGGCUCAACCGGGGAGGGUCAUUGGAAACUGGGAAACUUGAGUGCAGAAGAGGAGAGUGGAAUUCCACGUGUAGCGGUGAAAUGCGUAGAGAUGUGGAGGAACACCAGUGGCGAAGGCGACUCUCUGGUCUGUAACUGACGCUGAGGAGCGAAAGCGUGGGGAGCAAAUGGGAUUAGAUACCCGAGUAGUCCCUGUCUCUUAUAA
rnacentral:rRNA from 1 species